CCCUUUUCCCCUUCUUCUCUUUCCUUUUUUCAAUUAUAUGAUUCUAACUGAUUUUUUUCUCUUGCUAGAAUUGGUCUGGAUAUGAAGCUACUAAACGCAUGAGACACAAAAAUCAUCUUAAUUGAUUGCGGACAAUGGACUGAAAGUCCACGAGAAGGAGAAAAAGAAUCAACUUUCCAGAUAGGGAUCUCAUUUUUCUUUUAAUAAAUUGAGGGAAAAAUGGAAGAGAAGUCGACGGGAAGAAGAAAAAAAGAUUUAAGUUUUCAAGAUUGAGGAACAUCACAAGGAAAUACUAAUGGGAGGAGAAAAAGAUUUAGCUUUUCAGCUAUUGCCUUCUCAACAUGAAUUGUUAUGCAUCUGAAGCAUAUAUGAAGCUGGAAGGUUUAGUUUGAAGUACUCUUUUACACACUUUUGGCAAAAGAGUGUAAAUCUGCCAAAAUUAACUAAUAUGCCAAAAGAGUGGUCGUCUGUUAAUCAAGUGCAUCUGUUAAAUCAGAAGUUAAAUGAUAAAUAACAUUAACUAAUAUGGAACAAAAGGUCGAGGUUAAGACUUUUCACUUUCACUUUUGCAGAGAAGUUUAAAGAUUUUCCGAAGAAACCUCUAAGCUGGUUCAGGAAUCAUUUUUUGCUCAGUUAAAAGUUGAAUCCUUUUGUUCUUUUCUUGUUUUUGCACUGAAUAUGGGACCUGGUCUUCAUGCAAUUUCUGUCUCUGCAUCUUUUAGGACAAGUCAAUAUUUCUAAAGUAGUAUAUGUUUGAGAGUAAGAGUAGGGAGAUGAUUGUCUACACAACCGAAGGAAGAAGCAAUCUUUAUUUGUGGUCCAGGAAUAAACAAAUGGUGAAGAUAGCCUUUAAGUGAGAAUAUCUUAAACUAGGUGACUUGGUUGAGCAGAUAUUGUGCACAUCCAUAUUUGGAACUCCAUAGCAUGUUAGCUUCCUUAUUUGGCUAUCUAAAUAGACUAUUCUGUAGUGUGAAAAUGUCAUCUUCUUUUGAUGGGCUUUUGAAUAAUGAAUCAUUAGUUUCUUUUCAUUGAUUAAUUUUAUAGAUUGAUUACACUUUUGUUGUUAGAGUAAGUUUUACUUGGUAAUAAAUUUGUAUAUUUCAUCUUUAACCUUUUGGGUUCAUUUCUUGAACUUCAAUAUUUAUAGGUAUAAACUUGUUGAAAAAAGGAUGAGAGGCAUUGGCAGGAUUCAACAUUUUGCUGACUUGCUAAAUUUGUUAAGAGAAUUUUCUUCACUUUCCUUGGAAUAUGCUUCUGCUGUUCUAUCGUCUAUGUGCAGGUUAUUAGUCAAGAUAUCUGACACUUCUUUAGGCUUUGUUGUUCUAGGCCCAAUCAGAUAUCUUUAUACUUACUGUUAUUUGAUUGUGUGGCUUGAGUUCAAAUUAAGUAAAUUAUUUGAGAGAAUGCUUAAUGAUUUGUUUGGCUUGUUUUGCUUAGCAAUGAGUCAAAGCCCGAAGAGUGGAAGAACUCUUACCGUUUCCCUUGCACUAUCAUGAUUGAAGUGCCAUGCAUCCCUAGAAUCAAGAUUGGAAUUAUUUCUAUGUCUGUCCUGCAUGGAUCUACAGUGAUUAUUUAUUAGCCUCAUUUUUGGAUACAUAUUAUUGUAGACAUUAUGUACCUUUUACAUUUUAAAUAAGAGGUUUCGUUUGUAAAGAUAGUGACCAACUUUUGUUUCAAU